rnacentral:tRNA from 1 species
GUGGGUGUAGCUCAGCUUGGAUAGAGCACUAGACUGUGGCUCUAGGUGUCGCGGGUUCAAAUCCCGUCAUCCACCCCA